rnacentral:pre_miRNA from 1 species
UGUGCAUCGUGGUCAAAUGCUCAGACUCCUGUGGUGGCUGCUCAUGCACCACGGACGUUUGAGCAUGUGCUACGGUGUCUA